rnacentral:rRNA from 1 species
CCUACGGGAGGCAGCAGUGGGGAAUUUUCCGCAAUGGGCGCAAGCCUGACGGAGCAAUACCGCGUGAGGGAGGAAGGCUCUUGGGUCGUAAACCUCUUUUAUCAGGGAAGAACGCAAUGACGGUACCUGAUGAAUCAGCAUCGGCUAACUCCGUGCCAGCAGCCGCGGUAAUACGGAGGAUGCAAGCGUUAUCCGGAAUUAUUGGGCGUAAAGCGUCCGCAGGUGGUUGUGAAAGUUUGCUGUCAAAGCGCGAGGCUCAACUUCGUACCGGCGGUGAAAACUUCACGACUAGAGCUAGGUAGGGGUCACGGGAAUUCCCAGUGUAGCGGUGAAAUGCGUAGAUAUUGGGAAGAACACCAGCGGCGAAAGCGCGUGACUGGGCCUGAGCUGACACUCAUGGACGAAAGCUAGGGGAGCGAAAGGGGAUUAGAUACCCCUGUAGUCCUAGCCGUAAACGAUGACAACUAGGUGUUGCCCGUAUCGACCCGGGCAGUGCCGUAGCCAACGCGUUAAGUUGUCCGCCUGGGGAGUACGCGACGCAGUGUGAACUACAAUAGAAGUUAGACGGCGUGAGACGUGCCGACGGACGACCGACGAGGGAGGUAGG